rnacentral:rRNA from 1 species
UACGAAGGGGCUAGCGUUGUUCGGAAUUACUGGGCGUAAAGCGCACGUAGGCGGUCGUUAAGUCGGGGGUGAAAUCCUGGAGCUCAACUCCAGAACUGCCUUCGAUACUGGCGAUCUUGAGUCUGGGAGAGGUGAGUGGAACUCCGAGUGUAGAGGUGAAAUUCGUAGAUAUUCGGAAGAACACCAGUGGCGAAGGCGGCUCACUGGCCCGGUACUGACGCUGAGGUGCGAAAGCGUGGGGAGCAAACAGG